CCAGCUCCAAUAGCGUAUAUUAAAGUUGUUGCAGUUAAAAAGCUCGUAGUUGGAUUUCAAGAAAUGCAGUGGAGUCAAAUCCAUCUGCUUUCUACCAGUCUUUGACUGUUACUGUGAGAAAAUUAGAGUGUUUCAAGCAGGCUAUUGCAGGAAUACAUUAGCAUGGAAUAACGAAUGGGUCUACAAUUUGGUUGAUUGUAGAUUUCGAUUAAUAGGGACAGUUGGGGGCAUUAGUAUUUAAUUGUCAGAGGUGAAAUUCUUGGAUUUGUUAAAGACUAACGUAUGCGAAAGCAUUUGCCAAGGAUGUUUUCA
rnacentral:rRNA from 1 species